CCGGGUUCACGCCAUUCUCCUGCCUCAGCCUCCCGAGUAGCUGGGACUACAGGCACCCGUACUUCACAUUUUUGAAGACUACUUUAGUGUUCCCCCUAAGAUACUCAUCUCUUGGAAAACGAAUUUUCACGUCUUCAAACUUAUACUCUCCUUUUUAUUGAUUUUUGUCAGAAGUUUCUUUAUGUAUCAUUACCAGAAAGACAAUGGGUUGUACUAUCUUCAAAAUUCCAGAUCAUCUCAUCCAUCCAUAAUGGCAUCUGUCACUGCAGUGGUUUCGAAGUCAAGCAGUGGGUGAACUUUCCAGCCUUCUCAAAAAAUGUUCCAAAGACUGUUUUAAUUCCAUCUGGAAUUAGAGUAUGCCAGUGCCACAGAGGAAGCAGUUUUUCGUCUUUCUCUUCUCCCUAAAUGCGGUCACUCCCACACUCUAAGACCAGACCAGAUCAAACCAGACCAGACCAGAUCA